UACGUAGGUGGCAAGCGUUGUCCGGAUUUACUGGGCGUAAAGGAUGCGUAGGCGGACAUUUAAGUCAGAUGUGAAAUACCCCGAGCUUAACUUGGGUGCUGCAUUUGAAACUGGGUGUCUAGAGUGCAGGAGAGGUAAGUGGAAUUCCUAGUGUAGCGGUGAAAUGCGUAGAGAUUAGGAAGAACACCAGUGGCGAAGGCGACUUACUGGACUGUAACUGACGCUGAGGCAUGAAAGCGUGGGGAGCAAACAGGAUA
rnacentral:rRNA from 1 species